AUGAAAAGGAUUGUGCUAUAUUACCAUGUUAUGAAGGUAGAGCUGGGAUAUGCCUUUCUUGAACUGUGUGGACAUGCUCAUGGCGGAGGUGAUUCAACUUUUGGUUGGUUUCAUUUCAAGAUUGCUAGGAAAAUCGGAGGUGCUUGUUGUGUUUGCAUUCUAGAUGUAAUUUUCUUGAGAAGUACCUCAAAUGAACAUGGAAGUUUUGCCUUUGAAGCGAUCUGUUUGAAGGUUCUUUCAAGUAGAGUGAAGAAACUCUUGGAUUGUGUCUGCAAAAUUAGUUUACUGCUGCUGUGUUUAUCUCGAGUGGUAUGUCAAGGUCUAUUCAGAUGCUGGUUACUGUGUGGGAUUCUACCAAUCCUUCUGAUCACUAGUUUGUGCGUUUGA
rnacentral:rRNA from 1 species